rnacentral:rRNA from 1 species
UAGGGCAAGUCUGGUGCCAGCAGCCGCGGUAAUUCCAGCUCCAAUAGCGUAUAUUAAAGUUGUUGAGGUUAAAAGGCUCGUAGUUGAACCUUGGGCCUAGCCGGCCGGUCCGCCUCACCGCGUGCACUGGCUCGGUUGGGCCUUUCCUUCUGGAGAACCCCAUGCCCUUCACUGGGUGUGGUGGGGAACCAGGACUUUUACUCUGAACAAAUUAGAUCGCUUAAAGAAGGCCUAUGCUCGAAUAUAUUAGCAUGGAAUAAUAGAAUAGGACGUGUGGUUCUAUUUUGUUGGUUUCUAGGACCGCCGUAAUGAUUAAUAGGGACAGUCGGGGGCAUCAGUAUUCAAUUGUCAGAGGUGAAAUUCUUGGAUUUAUUGAAGACUAACUACUGCGAAAGCAUUUGCCAAGGAUGUUUUCAUUAAUCAGGAACGAAAGUUAGGGGAUCGAAGACGAUCAGAUACCGUCGUAGUCUUAACCAUAAACUAUGCCGAUUAGGGAUCGGACGGUGUUAUUUUUUGACCCGUUCGGCGCCUUACGGGAAAC